GCAGGCCGUCGGCGCCGCACAGCAGCCCGAACUUGCCGUAGUUCUCGAACCGGCGCUUGGUCUUCUCGAUGGUGGCGUUGAUGGCGAGCGCGGGGGCGCUGUCGGGCGCGUACUUCUUCAGCGACGCGGUGAGCUUCUUGAUCGAGUUCUUCUCGCGCUUCGCGAACGCCUUGGACUCCUUGCACGGGGUCAGCCCCGCGAUGUCGGCGGCCGCGGGCGGAGGGGAGGUGGCGGCCGAGGACAGCAGCACCGACGACAGCGCCAGCGCGGCGGAGAACGUCUUCACGGAGGACGCGAGCGACACGCUGCUGCUGUCGCCGGUGGCGGCGGAGCAGGCCACGGAGAGGCGCGCGCGCGGCUUCGCGGCGAAGGCGGCCGUGGAGGCGGCGGCGAGGGCGGCCAUCUCUGGUCUCUGGCUCUCUGCUGCUACGCUGCGUCGUCCGGCUUGGAGCUGGGGAGAAACAGACGUGCUUAUUGGGAGGG
rnacentral:lncRNA from 1 species